GCUUGACACGUCAGAUUAAUCAGAUGCUGCGUAUUAGAGAAUUGAGGUGGAUUUUGGGCUUUGUCUUUCGUUAGUUUAUCGUGGCCCAUGUCCCCAACCCUAAUCAUUCACUUCAAUUCACACGUCGUCCUCUUCGAAACCUCUGAACGAUGAUGCGGCGGUGGAGAUGAUUAAGAUCCGUAACGAGGAAUCGCCAGAAAAAGAUGUAGACAGAUGUGGCGGAAGCCUUAGACGUCGUUUAUUUUGUUUCGUCGAGAACCCCAUGAACCGGGCCAGCCAGUACCGGUCAUCUCUGAAGCUUCAGAUUAAGGUCGAUGAUAAGACCGGUUCAAAUCUCCGAUGCUUGCUUAAGACCUUUGGGUGUGGCUCCGCUAUGGCUUCUUCAUCUCCAUCAAAUGGGUGAAAGUCAAAGCUAUCAAGGAAAUCCUGACCAUUAUGAACACAUCUUUUGUACAAGGAUUACCAAGGAGACCAGAAACUCACUAUCACCACUUACUCUUCAACCGGUUUUUGAUAAAGUUGAUGUUUUUAGGCAAUCACUACAAGUGGAACAAACAGGGGAGAUUUGUUUGUGGGUAGUGUAGCUACCCAAGUCAAGAACAAGAACUUCACUGCUGAUAUCAAAGUUGCCUCUGAUUCUUCUAUCCUUACCACUUCACUGGUGAUGCUUUGUGUGUUUUGUUCUCAGGUGGAGCUCCAGUAUCUGCACACACAUGCUGGUGUUUCCACCAGUGUUGGAUUGACAGCAAACCCCGUUGUCAAUUUCUCCAGUUUGAUUGGAACCAGUGUCUUUGCUCUUGGUACCGAUGUGUCCUUUGAUACUGAAUCUUGAAACUUCAAACAUUUCAUUACUGGUGUGAGUCACUAAGGAUGAUCUGAUUGCUUCUCUUAAUCUGAAUGAAAAUGUGAGAGAUUGAAUGCAUCGUAUUACCACACUGUGAAUCCGUUGAAGAACACAGUGGUUAGAGCCCAGGUUAACUACAACUUGAAGAGCCAAGUGGACUCCAUAACCGUGGGUGCUCAGCACUCUCUUGACCCGUUGACCACAGUGAAGGCACCUGUUAACAAUGCAGGUAUAGCCAACGCGCUGAUCCAACACGAGUGGCGUCCAAAGCCGUUCAUUACCAUCUGUGGAGAGGUUGACUCUAGGGCGAUUGAGAAGAAUGCCAAGGUUGGGUUUACUAUUGCUCUCAAGCCUUGAGAAGAAUUCUAAUAUUUUGGACUAAUCUUUGUCUGUUUUUUAAAAAAAAAAUUGUUCAUUUGUUUUCUUUUUCUUCAAAAUAAGAAGAAAAAUACUAUGAAAGGAUAGUCUUGAAGAUGAUCCAUACAAGUCUCUUUCUUGAUUAUUUAAAUGCUUCAAAUUAUAAAAUUAGAUGUGUUUACUAAUUUAUAAACACUUU